rnacentral:rRNA from 1 species
UACGUAGGGUGCAAGCGUUGUCCGGAAUUAUUGGGCGUAAAGAGCUCGUAGGCGGUUUGUCGCGUCUGCUGUGAAAACUGGAGGCUCAACCUCCAGCCUGCAGUGGGUACGGGCAAACUAGAGUGCGGUAGGGGAGAUUGGAAUUCCUGGUGUAGCGGUGGAAUGCGCAGAUAUCAGGAGGAACACCGAUGGCGAAGGCAGAUCUCUGGGCCGUAACUAACGCUGAGGAGCGAAAGCAUGGGGAGCGAACAGG